rnacentral:lncRNA from 1 species
AUGUCUCUGUCCAGCCCCCAGCAGCAGUCCUCUGCCUCCUCACUGUCCGGCAGUGAUAUCGACUCUGACUGCACACCCUCUGCGGCUCCAGCUGUGACACCCUAUCCUCUGCAGACGCUGGCCCUGGGCACGCUGCCUACUGACCUGCAGAUGGGCACGAUCAAAGCUAACCUUAGCAUGCCACUCACAAUGCCACCGACCAACCAAGUAAGAGUAUCGAUGGCAGGGAAUCUUCCUAUCCACGUCUUACCAGGCAGACAGGCAGGUCCUAAGUUCCCCCUAAAGGGCUUCCACAACCCUGCAGUGGUGCACAGCCCAAGCCUGGCCAACCGCAACCACUUGCAGUACAACCGUAACCCAGGCCGCCGCCGGAAGAGGGACAGUUUACCGGCCAGCGUCAGCAGAUAAACCCCACAGCGCCCCUUACCUCCCUGCCUCCUGCCCCACCCUCACUCUCCUCUCAUCUCGUCAUUCCUCCUCCUAGUCAUUCAUCCUCUCUACUUUAUAUGCGAUUUAAGAUGAUGUGGACUUGACACUCCCCUAAACCCCUUGCUGGUGGGGUUCGGACAGAGAGACCAGCGGUUCCUGCCCCAGCUCUGUGCAGUAGCUGUGGUCAUGGUGGUGCUACUUUCACUCUACCACUUAAUCUCUGCAUGAUUCUUUCCUCUCUUUUUUUUUCUUUUUGUUUCUCUACCUGGGCGAUGCCCACGAGGAUGCUUCCAAAACAGGACCGGUUCUGUCAUUAAUCACGUGAUUAUGUCGGUUUAAAGGAAAACUUCUUUAUUUUGUCUUAUCCUCGUUAUUGCUGUUGCAUUGGUAAGUAUUAAGUUUGGCAUUUUGUCUUUGUUUUUUUUGGCCUUAACAUGAACACCAUCCUACAGAUGGUGGCUGUAGAUUCAGUGGAUUAUGUCUGUUGUGGUGUUUGUGCAGUAUCUCCGGGGUUAGGAAUUGUUCUACAGAGGUGAGAGAAAGGGAAGUAAGUGUGUGUUGAGUGUGUGUGGAACAGAGUGGGUCAUUUGUGCAAUAACUAAGUACUUUUUUUUCUUUCCCUAAAGUUUAUGUAUUUAUGUAUGACAUUUUUUAUAUAUUUUUAAAUGCUUUUAUUUUGUAGAGUUUUAAUUUUAAGUCUUCGUUGUUUUCCCUGUUUACAAAGGAGGAUCCACACAUUUAGCUUUACUUGCUGCACUCAGAUGAUUUGAGGUGUGUGUGCAUGUGCGUUCGUUCAUUCCGUGGAAUGAUCACUCUACCUGCAGGUGGCGCCAUUUCCCCAAGAUUGGCAACUCUUGGAGCCCUCUGUCAGCUGUCUUUGUGUUUUUAAAGUUUAGUUUAUUUGGGUUUUCUGAAUGUGUGCGUGUGUUUGUAAGGGUGUGUAUAUGUGUGUGUGUGUGUGUGUGUGUGUGUGUGUGUGUGUCUUACUGACCUGGCUGGGCAUUUUGUGGCUUAAGGGAGGGGUUUGGAUGAACAACAAAAAUGUCAAAAGGGCAUGUUUGGUGUUCAAAUGGUGCAGGCUUUGUUACGUUAGCCUUGUAGCUCCAGUUUAAAUCUAACAAACACGUGUGUGUGUGUGUGCGUGUACUCUCAGUUUGCGCAAAACAUGUUAGAAUAAAUUACCGUAAGAACUAGGCCUGUCA